rnacentral:rRNA from 1 species
UACGUAUGUCACAAGCGUUAUCCGGAUUUAUUGGGCGUAAAGCGCGUCUAGGUGGUUAUGUAAGUCUGAUGUGAAAAUGCAGGGCUCAACUCUGUAUUGCGUUGGAAACUGUAUAACUAGAGUACUGGAGAGGUAAGCGGAACUACAAGUGUAGAGGUGAAAUUCGUAGAUAUUUGUAGGAAUGCCGAUGGGGAAGCCAGCUUACUGGACAGAUACUGACGCUAAAGCGCGAAAGCGUGGGUAGCAAACAGG